UACGUAGGGGGCAAGCGUUGUCCGGAUUUAUUGGGCGUAAAGAGCGUGUAGGCGGCCUUACAGGUCAGCUGUGAAAACUCGAGGCUCAACCUCGAGACGUCGGCGGAAACCAUCUGGCUAGAGUCCGGAAGAGGAGAGUGGAAUUCCUGGUGUAGCGGUGAAAUGCGCAGAUAUCAGGAAGAACACCCGUGGCGAAGGCGGCUCUCUGGGGACGGUACUGACGCUGAGACGCGAAAGCGUGGGGAGCGAACAGG
rnacentral:rRNA from 1 species